GACGAACGCUGGCGGCGUGCUUAACACAUGCAAGUCGAACGGAAAGGCCCUGCCCUUGUGGGGUGCUCGAGUGGCGAACGGGUGAGUAACAUGUGAGUAACCUGACCUUGACUUUGGGAUAACUUAAGCAAACUGGGGCUAAUACCGGAUAGGAGCUCCUGCUGCAUGGUGGGGGUUGGAAUGUUUCGGCGGUUGGGGCUGGACUCGCGGCUGAUCAGAUUGUUGGUGGGGUAGUGGCUUACCAAGGCUUUGACGGGUAGCCGGCCUGAGAGGGUGACCGGCCACAUUGGGACUGAGAUGCGGCCCAGACUCCUACGGGAGGCAGCAGUGGGGAAAAUUGCACAAUGGGCGGAAGCCGGAUGCAGCAACGCCGCGUGCGGGAUGACGGCCUUCGGGUUGUAAACCGCUUUCGCCUGUGACGAAGCGUGAGUGACGGUAAUGGGUAAAGAAGCACCGGCUAACUACGUG
rnacentral:rRNA from 1 species